AGGCCACGUUGAACAGUCCCCUGUUUCUUUAAGGCGUUCGUGCCUCACGAUCGUGAGGCACGAACACAUGAACGUCAACAGAGGCCAUCCUCUGGCUUUAUAAAAGCCAGAAAAGGUCACGAACAGAGGGAGGAAAAACAAAAGAAAGGAAGGGACCGAGAAAGAAUAGAGAGAUUCAAGAGAACAGAGAGGAGAGAAGACGACGAUCGGGAGGAGAGACAGAGAAAAAGGGAGAAGACCGAGAGAAAAACAGGGGGAAAAAAACGGAUAACACAGGAGGAACGAAACAGAAGUGGAGAGGAAAUUUUGGCCAGACACUACACCUUCAUCAUCAUCUUCUUCCAGACCAGUGCUAGCCGCGACUCCGGUUGCACCAACUUCCCCCCUCCACCCGAACAGACAGACGCAAAGGAAAACAGGGGAGGAGACGACGAGCAGGAGGAAGAGAGGGAGAAACAGAACAACAGAAAAAAAAAAGAGCAAGGAGCAGGAAGGAAGCUUGAAGACAGGAGCUUCGCCCAGCGUCUGCCGAGUCGCGCGAAGUCUCUGCAAAACCAGGGGAGCUCCCGAUUCAGCAGGGGAGUUGAUAAUCUGCAACAAAUCCGAUCGUGGGCCACGUCUCUCGCCCACGAUCUCGUCGGAGAAGAUAACAGUCCUGUAAAGGCAGGACUGGUUAGAGGCAAGCAGCUGGGUCUCUAUAAAAGGGACCGAAAAAUCAACCGAAAAAAAAAAAAAAAAAAACCAGACGGGAAAACUCAGAGCAAAAACAGAGGCAAAAACCCAGAGCAAAGAAAUAAUACACAGAGGAGAACUGAGAAAAAAAGGCAAACGAAACAGAAACAGGGGAAGAAAAACUAGAGAAAAAGCCAACGUACCCCAGCUUCGCCUUCGUCUUCAGAGCACAAAUUCACAGAAACCAAAAAACAAAAGAGCAAGAACAGAGAGACUAUAUAGAAGGCCACAGGAGAAUGAAAUAAACACAGAACAGGGACAGGCAGGAAGAAACCAAUCAGAGAAAAGCAAGAACAAAGGAGAAGGGAAGAGAAAGGAGCUUAGCCGACGAAUCUUUCAUCACGUUUUCAUCUUCAUAGCUACCAGGAUUUUUCAUGUGUUAAUAUCAGAAACUCACAUUGUUCCAGCAACUCUGGUGUCGAUGUGGGUGUUGUCCUCGUCAUCAAGCUUGGCCAUUCCAAAAUCAGAUAUCUUGGCGUUCAUGUCCUUGUCAAGAAGGAUAUUGGUACCUUUUAUGUCUCUAUGAACAAUUUUGAGUGUCGACUCCUCAUGCAGGAAAACCAGACCUUUCGCUAUACUUACACAUAUCCUCUGCCUUGUACGCCAGUCUAGCUUCGUUGCCUUGAUUUCCUUUGUCCCUGUAAUCAUCAUGCAUAAAUCAACCCAUCAAUUUCUUCAACA